GACGAACGCUGGCGGCGUGCUUAACACAUGCAAGUCGAACGAGGUCCAUCCUUCGGGAGAAGACCUAGUGGCGAACGGGUGAGUAACACGUGAGCAACCUGCCCCGAAGACUGGGAUAACAGCGGGAAACCGCUGCUAAUACCGGAUACCCCCAUUGGACCACAUGGCCUGAUGAGGAAAUGAAUUUCGCUUCGGGAGGGGCUCGCGGCCUAUCAGCUUGUUGGUGGGGUAACGGCCUACCAAGGCGACGAUCGGUAGCUGGUCUGAGAGGAUGGUC
rnacentral:rRNA from 1 species